GACAGAGGGUGCAAACGUUGUUCGGAAUUACUGGGCGUAAAGCGCGUGUAGGCGGCCCUGUAAGUCGGGUGUGAAAUCCCACGGCUCAACCGUGGAAGUGCAUUCGAAACUACAGGGCUAGAGUUCUGGAGAGGAAGGUGGAAUGCUUGGUGUAGAGGUGAAAUUCGUAGAUAUCAAGCGGAACACCGGUGGCGAAGGCGGCUCUCUGGAACGCAACUGACGCUGAGACGCGAAAGCGUGGGGAGCAAACAGG
rnacentral:rRNA from 1 species